rnacentral:rRNA from 1 species
AUUGAACGCUGGCGGCAGGCCUAAAACAUGCAAGUCGAACGAGUGGCGGACGGGUGAGUAAUGUCUGGGAAACUGCCUGUUGGAGGGGGAUAACUACUGGAAACGGUAGCUAAUACCGCAUACCAUCAGAUGUGCCCAGAUGGGAUUAGCUUGUUGGUGGGGUAACGGCUCACCAAGGCGACGAUCCCUAGCUGGUCUGAGAGGAUGACCAGCCACACUGGAACUGAUACACGGCCCAGACUCCUACGGGAGGCAGCAGUGGGGAAUAUUGCACAAUGGGCACAAGCCUGAUGCAGCAAUGCCGCGUGUAUGAAGAAGGCAUUCGGGUUGUAAAGGACUUUCAGCGGGGAGGCGUUACUCGCAGAAGAAGAACCGGCUAACUCCGUGCCAGCAGCCGCGGUAAUUC